AAGAAAAUGAAGAAUUCACUAAAGGUUCCCAUUUGUAGAUUUGAGAUGGCAGAAGAAAAUAAAAAUCACCAAACUUGAAGGCAAUUUUCAACCACUUGCAGUUAAACAAAGUCACAAGACUAGGUCUUGGCAACGGGAUAUGUGAGGAAGUGAUGUGAAUUCCUGGCCAAAGCAUAGAAGUGCAGAGGCAAGACCAUCCAGGUGACUCUUGCGAAGCAUCAGCUAUGGAGGCAAUGUGGUCCACGACACUUGUGACAGGUGAAGAUGUUCUUACUUCCCCUUCGGCCAUGACCGUAAGUUUCCUGAGGCCUCCAAGACAUGCUUCUUGUGCAGCCUGCAGAACUAUAGACCUGAAGGCUGAAGGAGAAUCCACUAUCCAAGAAGCAUCAGUCCACAUAGAAGGGGACCAAAAUGUAUUCAGAAUUUUUCAGAAGACACGUGGUUAGGUGAAAAAUGUAUCAAGAUAGGUAAUCUUUAGCAGCUUGGAAACUGAUGUGUGUGUAUAUACAUACAUAAAAUCUUAAAACUGCUCUCCUUUCAAGUGAGAAAACUAUUUCAUUUGUUCUACUUGGAAGUCGCUAAAACAAUACACCCAACUCCUUCCGCAGCAUUUUAAUAGAAAAAAACUUAACUAUGAAGGUGAAUACUGCCAUCUUGUGGUUAUUGUUAAAGUAACAUGUUUUAACUGACAAAUGUAAUUCACAAAAUCAUAAGGAAUAUCACUGCCAUUUAUCGAUUCUUUCCUGAGUCCCAGGCACCACAUUAGGACUCUCCAUAUGCUAUCUUAUUUAAUACUCAAAACAGGACAAAAAGGGAUGUGCCACUUAAAUCUCACAGUAAAUUAUGUAAUUUUAUAAUAUAAAAAUAAUUUAGUACAUCUACAAUCCCAUUUUUUAACUUCACAGAUAAGAAUAACAGAAGUCCUCGUUGUUGAAGGGCUUAUAGUCAUUGACUAGUCAUUUACCCUAAUAGAGCUCACAUCUCUUGGUUUCUACUAUUGUGCUAAAAUAUUCCAUGCCAUUUUGUGUUAUACUAUUCUGUUAUAUGUGGACCUCUAAUUUAAAAC
rnacentral:lncRNA from 1 species